CCUACGGGAGGCUGCAGUGGGGAAUAUUGGACAAUGGGGGGAACCCUGAUCCAGCCAUGCCGCGUGUGUGAAGAAGGCCCUCGGGUUGCAAAGCACUUUCAGUGAGGAAGAACGCCUGGUGGUUAAUACCCAUCAGGAAAGACAUCACUCACAGAAGAAGCACCGGCUAACUCCGUGCCAGCAGCCGCGGUAAUACGGAGGGUGCGAGCGUUAAUCGGAAUUACUGGGCGUAAAGCGCGCGUAGGUGGCUUGAUAAGCCGGUUGUGAAAGCCCCGGGCUCAACCUGGGAACGGCAUCCGGAACUGUCAAGCUAGAGUGCAGGAGAGGAAGGUAGAAUUCCCGGUGUAGCGGUGAAAUGCGUAGAGAUCGGGAGGAAUACCAGUGGCGAAGGCGGCCUUCUGGACUGACACUGACACUGAGGUGCGAAAGCGUGGGUAGCAAACAGGAUUAGAUACCCUUGUAGUC
rnacentral:rRNA from 1 species